GAGUUUGAUCGUGGCUCAGAUUGAACGCUGGCGGCAUGCCUUACACAUGCAAGUCGAACGGCAGCACGGGAGCUUGCUCCUGGUGGCGAGUGGCGAACGGGUGAGUAAUGCAUCGGAACGUAUCCUGGAGUGGGGGAUAACGUAGCGAAAGUUACGCUAAUACCGCAUAUUCUGUGAGCAGGAAAGCGGGGGACCUUCGGGCCUCGCGCUCUUGGAGCGGCCGAUGUCGGAUUAGCUAGUUGGUGAGGUAAAGGCUCACCAAGGCGACGAUCCGUAGCAGGUCUGAGAGGAUGAUCUGCCACACUGGAACUGAGACACGGUCCAGACUCCCACGGGAGGCAGCAGUGGGGAAUUUUGGACAAUGGGGGCAACCCUGAUCCAGCCAUGCCGCGUGAGUGAAGAAGGCCU
rnacentral:rRNA from 1 species